rnacentral:rRNA from 1 species
AGUGAACGCUGGCGGUAGGCCUAACACAUGCAAGUCGAACGGCAGCACAGUAAGAUCUUUCUCUUACGGGUGGCGAGGGGCGGACGGGUGAGGAAUACAUCGGAAUCUAAUUUUUCUGGGGUGAUAACGUAGGGAAACUUACGCUAAUACCUCAUACGUCCUACCGGUUGGAUCAGUGGAUCUUCAGGCCUUUGCCGAUUGAAUGAGCCGAUGUCGCGUUGGAUAGUUGGCGGGGUAAAGUCCCACCAAGGCGACGAUCCGUAGCUUGACUGAGAGGAUGAUCAGGCCCAAUGGAAAUGAGAAACGGUCCAGAAUCCUAAGGGAGGCAGCAGUGGGGAAUAUUGGACAAUGGGCGCAAGCCUGAUCCAGCCAUACCGCGUGGGUGAAGAAGGCCUUCGGGUUGUAAAGACCUUUUGUUGGGAAAGAAAAGCAGCAGGUUAAUACCCCGCUGUUCUGACGGUACCCAAAGCAUAAGCACCGGCUAACUUCGUG